ACCAUCCCCUCAGAGCGCUCGAGCGUUGCGGAACUCUUUCUGCAGAGUUCUGCCUGGAGGAAAACCAUAAUCCUUCGAGAUAUGUCCUCGAAGCCAAUCAUCCUGUUAGGGUUUCUGUUCCUCUUGAUUCCAUUCCUCGCAGCCGAAACCCAAACUUGUCUGGCUGUUUACAAGGAGGGCGGCGCCCCGGCAGUUUUUCAGUCGCCUAAGUGCCCUCGGUGGACGCUUCCCGCCGAUUCUCCCGGCGGACCUCCCACCAACUGUCAGAUUGCUGUUCUCCAGGGGAGGCGCAGGUCUCAGGAAGACCGCGCCGUCUGUGUCCUAGAUAUAAGGAUUCCAUUCUUAGAGAGAAGUGGAAUCAAGGAGAUUCAAGUUGGUAUUGUGGCUGUAUUUGACGGCCAUAAUGGUGCAGAAGCCAGUGAUUUGGCUUCCAAACUUCUAGUGGAGUAUUUUUCAUUACAUGUGUACUUUCUCCUUGAUGGAAUAUACUCUGCAACACUUAAAAAGUCUGUUGAAAAAUUGACAUACAAUGAAAAGCAAAAUGAGAUUAUCCGUGUGCUUGAAUCGGCCAAAAAGGAAAGUUGGCUAAAGUGGGGUCAAAAAAGCUCUGAGUGGUCAUCUACUAUUUUUGAUGAUGCAUUUCAUUUGGAAAUUCUUAAAGAAUCACUGCUCAGGACAAUUCAUGACAUUGAUGUGACAUUUUCGAAGGAAGCUUUAAAAGCCAACCUUGAUUCUGGUUCAACUGCGACAAUUGUUCUUAUAGCAGAUGACCGUAUUUUGGCCGCCAAUGUAGGUGAUUCAAAGGCCUUUUUGUGUUCAAAAAGUUCUGAUCCUUUCCUUGAAAUAGGCAGUAAGUCAAAAUUAAAUAGGCGCAGGAGACAUGAAGCAGCUAUAUCCCCAAUUAAUGCAUAUGAAGGCUCUAAAAUGGGAAAUUAUAAUGCAGUACGAUAUUAUGCUAAGGAACUUACAAGAGAUCAUCACCUUGCCCGAGAUGAUGAAAGGAAUCGCGUGGAAGCUGCUGGUGGAUAUGUGGUGGAGUGGGCUGGAGUCCUUCGGAUCAAUGGGGAGCUAGCUUUGUCCCGAGCAAUUGGAGAUGUGCCUUUCAAGAGAUACGGUGUCAUAUCCAUUCCGGAAGUGACAGAUUGGCAAUCUAUAAGUGAAAAUGACACUUGUCUGGUUAUCGCAUCUGAUGGAAUCUUUGAGAAAAUGACCACACAAGAUGUCUGUAAGGUUUUAUGGGAUGACAACUUAAGAUCCAGUACUAUACCUUGGUGUGUACAUGGACUAUCACAUUCUUGUGCUGAUUCAAUUGUAAAUAAUGCUUUUGAAAGAGGAAGCAUGGACAAUCUGGCAGCUGUUGUUGUUCCACUGGGAUCCGGUGUUGUUUCUGAGGUUGUCUUUUCAGACCAGCUUGAUGUAGCUGAUUUGUCAAAUUUUGGGCUGCAAAUGUUCAUUAACCAACAAGCUGGAUAUCAAGUGAAGCAUGGAGUUGGUACAAGUAUUCUUUCAUCAAGCUAUUACAAGAAGAUAAUUUCAAAGUUUGAUCGGUUGAUGAUUGAAGCAAGAAACACAACUUUUGGAUGCUUCUAUCUAUCUGAAAAUCUCAAUAAUGACAUGGAAUAUAUUUUUCAAUUCCCUAAGACUGACAGAGAGAGUGCUUUUAGUGAAUUAGAUCACGCAUUGCCGGAGCCGGUUGACUCUUAUUCUAGUGGGGGAUCUCUAGAUUUAUACAAUGACCCUGAAUUCUGCUGGCACUUUGGGAUUCAUGAAGGAGAUAAAGGUCAAUGCACCAGUCCUGAGGUUUUCACGAGCUUUCUAGGGCUUCUUGAUUCUGUCUCGUAUAAUGACGCUAAAUCCAACCACACAAAGUCGUUUGGUCAAAGAAUACCUGAUCCAAGGUACAAACUGAAGAGACAGUUUGACCGAGGUUCAUAUGGUGAAGUUUGGUUGGCAUUUCGUUGGAAUUGUUCUAAUGAACAUGACACAUCCUAUCCUUUAUUUAGUGGUCAAACGUAUUCUUUGGGUAGCCCAAGGCUUACUGCACAUUUGUACGAUGUAAGCCCAUCCAAUGAAUCCUGCAGUAGUAACUUGAGUGAUGGAGAUUCAUUCAUUUUGAAACGUAUAAUGGUGGAGCGAGGAAGUGGUGCUUACUUAAGUGGCCUGCGUGAAAAGUACUUUGGUGAAAUUUUUUUAAAUGCCUCCUUUUCAUUACACGAAUUACGAAAGACAGGAUUAUCUACUACUUUUUCAAUGGAAGAUGAAGUCCAUUCUGACAACUUGAUAUGGAAUGAUAUCUCUGAUGUUUGGGUGAAAACAUGUAAAUAUGAUAUUGGGAGCACAGAUGUUGGGAAUUUCAAGACAAAAGCUAACUGUGAAGAAGGUUUAGAACAUAUAGCUCGCUUUGUAGAAUCUUUUGAAUCCGAGUCAAAUGAGAUAUGGCUUGUGUUCCACACCGAAGGCUUAUCCCUGUCAAAGCUGAUGUAUACUGCAGAGGAAGUAAACUCAUUAAACAUUGAUGAAAUGUAUGAAAAUGUGAAAAGGAUCCAGGUAGUGCAUCCAUCAAAAUGGUGGCACUGGCUGCGAACAACAGAAGCAGGAAAGAAGGAAAUGCAGAGUCUUGUAUGGCAAUUGUUGAUGGCUCUCAAAUCUUGUCAUGAUCGUAAUAUCACUCAUAGGGACAUUAAACCAGAGAACAUGAUCAUUUGUUUUGAAGAAGUGAACAAAGGAAAGUGCUUGAGAGAGGCUCCGCCCAUUGGGAGUAAUGAGUAUCAUAUGAAAAUGCGCAUAAUUGACUUUGGGAGUGCAAUGGAUGACUUUACUUUAAAGCAUCUUUAUGGAUCUGGACCCACAAGGUCGGAACAGACGUUUGAGUAUGCUCCUCCAGAAGCACUUCUCAAUGCUAGCUGGUUUCAGGGGCCAAGCAGUGUUAGAUUGAAAUAUGAUAUGUGGAGUGUAGGGGUUUUUAUGUUGGAGUUGAUACUUGGAUCCCCUCAUGUUUUCCAGAUCUCUCAUAGGACUCGUGCUUUAAUUGAUCGACAUCUUGAAGGCUGGAGUGAACCAACAAAGGAACUAGCUUACAAAUUGAGAUCAUACAUGGAGAUGUGCAUUUUAGUUCCUGGGAUUUCCCCACAUAGUCGCCAGAGGAAUGGAAUUAAAGAUCAUUAAAAAAAUGACUAAUAAGACCAAAGAGAUUGCUACACCGGCCUUGUGGGAAAAAGAAACGAAAAUAAUAUUUUGUGUUAUUUGCCUCAAAGAGAUCGAAAUGGGAAACAAGCCAACUACCUUCUUCAACAAGGAAGGGUGGCAAAAUAUUACCAAAAAUUUCAAGGAAAUUAUAGGCAGAGAGUACGACAGAAUGCAAUUAAAGAAUAAAUGGGAUCAGCUUAAGAAAGAAUGGAAUAUUUUGAAGGACUUGAAAUGCGGCUCAACAGGAUUGGGGUGGGAUUCGUUGAAGCAAAAUAAUUGAUGCACCAGAGGAGUGGUGGACUGAAAGUCUUGCGGUGGUUCCUGCAGCGAAGUAAUUUAAGAUUUUCAUAAUUGAGGCAGAAUUGGAGGAAAAGCUCGACCGCAUGUUUGGCAGGGUGGUUACAACGAGAAACUAUGCAUGUUGCCCAAGCGAGGCAGAGUUUGUUGGCAAUACCAUGAAUCUUGGAACCCCUUGAGCUUUAGGUGAUUCCACUGAUGUCCCCAGUCCGGAGCAGAAUGAAUAUGAGACAACUUUCUCUUCCAAGCGGCCAAGGGAUGACAAUAGAAAAAAAAUUGGUGUUGGUUUCCUUGGAAACGAACUCUCACAACUGGUAUCUUCUUACAAAUCAGAAUGUCAGGCUUCUUAUUCAACCACUAAGAGGAGGCGCUACAAAUUCUGAGUGAUUCACUCGAAAUUUAUGAGGACGAAGCAUUGUAUCUGUUUGCAACAGAAUUGAUUGAGGACCCGGUCCGUAGAGAUAUCUUUAUGAAGAUGUCAGCAGGGCGCAGAAUGUCUUAUCUCCAACGUUUUCACGAUCGCUCAAAUAUUUGAGAUAUUCAAUGCAACAAGAACAUUUAUUGUGCAUUUUCUUUUAAUUUUUUGUUGUACUUCAGAACUCUUUUAUAUUCACGUUAUUAUAUGCAACCGUCUUCCUUUUGGUAUUACUCAAAAUUUUACGUUUUAGUAACUCAUUACUAUAUAUGGUUAAGACCGAAAGAUAUCGACCCUCAUGGAUGCAAGUAGAAGACGACAGAUGUCGAUCAACAUAGAUGCACACAGAAGAAGGCGGAGAGGGAUGUUGAUUACUGUCAUAUGCUUGAUCUACGAGUACUACAACUCGUACAUCGUUGUGUAUGAAUCUUCAUAUAUCGUUGAUAAAUGGGUUGGGGAGUUGCUAGUGGGGCACCCAACAAGAUUUAGUAAUGUAUUUCAAAUGAGCCAAGAAGUAUUUAUCGAUAUUCUUGAGGAACUUGUAGGAGCUCACGGACUUCAUGGUUCAUCCAGGACCACUUCACGUGAGAUGUUUGCAAUAACAUUGUACAUACUAUCUCAGAAUGAAUCUAUGCGAGGGGCAAUAGAGCGUUUUCAACACUCAUCCGAGACAAUUAGCAGGUACUUCUCAAUUGGAUUGAGCGCACUUGUUAGUCUUCACUCACAUGCCAUCAAACCAUCAGAUCCUAAGUUCGAGCGGACACCCGCAGAGAUAUCACACGAUGUGUGAUAUAUGCUCUUCUUCAAGGCAAUGUCUCGAAAGCAGUUGAGUUGUUUUUUUUUUUACAAUGCAAUGUUUUGUUGAACAUAACUUUCGCUUACACAAGAUUGCAUCAACGCAAUUGAUGGAACACAUAUUGACGCACGAAUGUCGAAUAAUGAUAAAAUUGCAUUCAUUGGUUGUUGCGGUAGCCUGACCCAAAAUGUCAUGGUCGUUUGCAACUUUAACAUGUGUUUCACUUUUAUAAUGGUCGGUUAGGAUGGGAGAGCACCUGACAGUCGAGUUUUUAGGUUUAUAACACGGAAUGCCAGUAUCAACUUUCCACAUCCACUGGUAGGUAAGCUCGAGCAUUAACACAAUAAUUUUAGACUUUUUUUUGCACUCUUGAUGCUCACUAUGAAGAGAAGUGUGUAUUUGUAGUUCUGUAUUGUUUUUAAGUGAAUUUUUGCCUUAAAAGUAUUAAAUUUGUGUCUAUCACUAUUCUGUUACGCACAAUAUUACAAAACAAGGCCAGAAUGAUCAUUUUUACAGAAACAAUUGUCUCACAGUUUUUUUUAACAUAGAUGCCCCAAACAUGCAGUCAGCUUCCCCACAGCAACUUCCUGGGGCAGCGUAGCUGUAGCUGGAAGCUAAAAAGCUGCAGCUGCUCCAAACUGAGUCUUAAUUAUCUAAAUUUACUCAAGAUAACACAUUAUCGCAAUUUACGUAUGUCCAAUAAAAUCAAUCUGGUAAAUGUGGUGGAAGUAAUCCAAAAUAAUUCAUUUGAAUAUAUCUAUAAAGCAUCUAAAAAUACACCCAAUAUUUUUUUUUAUAAAAGAAGAAAUUAGUAUAUCCCCUGACAGAUGAACGGACAUGGGGGAUGAAUCACAGUAUUGGAAAUUGCUUUUGGAGUUUUGUGGGAAACAUCUUAAAAUGGGAUCCAGAUCCUUUCAAAUAAGUAGUCCCUUCUUAGUGGUUGCUAUUGAGAAUCGUCUAGCAUACCAAAGAUUUCAUUCUCGUGUUAGUUCUUCCAUAUAAUUUUGUUUAUCAGGUGCGCCCAAUCAAGUAAGAGGAGUGAAAAAAUCAAGUUACUUAAUGACUUGAGAGUUACUUUGUGAGAAUCUAUGGUUAUAUGCAGCUCUAGCUUAAGUUGUGCUAAAAGAGAUUGAAUGCUUAUUCUAUCAUGAUGUGCUUUAGAAUGACAAUGCUUACAUCAUUGACUUAUCGCGAGAUUACAACAUUUUUGCUGCUUUCAACAUGUUUGAUCUGAUUUCAUAAUAUAAGAGAAAUCUUCGACGGAUGAGGUCGAAGCACCACCAACCACGGGAGACUGAUGUGGGCGUCUGUUGCUGCUGGACAGGCCGCAAGCAUCUCCUGCUUCUAGACCAGAAGGGAGGCAUUAAGGUUGGCUGGGACCAGUUUAGAACCGUAGCCCGAGGGCCGACCAACCAACCCUCAUUUGCGUGGGAUUACCGCCUCCUUGUUAGUGGGAGCCCACUCCUAGUUAUCCUUGAGUUAUAUAGUUGUGAUUUUGUUUUUCUCGGUUUAGUUUUUGGUCAGGUGCUGUUCGUGAUAGCUGCUGGUGUCUUAAUUUCCUGUCUUGGGCUUUAUCUAUUGGUAUGAAGUGUUUCAGCUAUAUUUUGCUCUUAAUAUCGUGAUUAUCCUUCCCUCUACCCUUCCCCAUCUUUCCCACUUCACUCCCCAUAGCACAUUCUUGCUGUAGCCGCCUAGAACAGCCGCCGGUAGCUUGCUUCCUGCAGUUUUCCCACUGUUCCAGCCUUCACGUUUGCUGCCGCUACCGUUCCAGCUUUCACCUUUGCCGCCGCUACCUGCCCUCCACCUUUGCUAUCGCUGCUGCUCCAACCCCCCACCUUCACCGCUUCUGUUCCAGCCCUCCUGCUUGAAGCAAGCUACCAGGAAAGGUGAAAUCUUUGGUAUGCUAGACGAUUUCAUACCACUAUCUGUAGGAAAUCAAUAACCACAAAUGGCAUGAAACGAAUAAUGUCAUUUGUGCGUAAUUCGUGUGUUAUAUGCGGAAGGCUGGAAUUUUGUACAACCCUACAGAUAUUUGAAUGAAACAGAGAGAGUAGUUUAGAGAGCACAUCUCCCGUGUUUAGCACUAUGCACGAGAAAGCUAGUGUGAGCUCGGCCAAGUGCAAAACUGCAAGCAAGGAGGAUGCAAUUUAUGUGUCCAAUGUCUUCGCGGAUGUCUAUUUUUUUAAUAUAAGGGAUAUAUAAAUUGUAAGUGUAUUUAACAAAUCACGUCAACUCUAUCGCAUGUGUCUGAAGUCUUCUUUACGAAUCCUCUUCUUUUUUGUUUGUUCUCACUCAGAGCUAGCUGCCUAAGGUAUUAAGCCUAUUUUAGGUUUCAUUUUGAUAUUAUUUCACCUAGUUAGUAUAUUUUGAUAAGCAUUGAUGCCUAGUAUUACGUGGCCCAAUCUAGAAGAAGCUAGGUGUAAUCUACACCAAGUCUUAACUCUUUUUUUUUUUUAGAAAGCCCAAAAAGGCUAAUAUUUUAACUAGAAAGAAAGAUACAUAUAGAAUGUGUGGGAGGGCCCAAGCAUGACACCCUGCCCACGCAAUAACCACAAAUGGUUCCAAAACUAGAAAAUACAGAAAAGUACAUUAGAAACUUAAAGAUAAAGCUUAAAAGUGUCGAAAUACAAAAUAUCAGGUGGCUAGAGAGUGACCCAAUUUGGUAUUGCCUUUGCCUCUAGUUCUAGGGAAGGAGCAAACUAAUAAUUUGGUAAAAUGAUUGUCAUUGCCAGUAAUAACCAAUAUGUCAUCCAAUAUGUUCCCGAGCUAGAGUCGACCUCCAUUCUUCUUCUUCCUCCUGGAAUAGAACUGUCAUUCCUCAUCCGAAGAUUGGCUCACCUGAUCUUGAUCUAAAGUAUGUUGAAGAUGUGCAAGUUGUUGAACAUUAGAAGCAACUAUAAGUUGUACCGGCUGAUCUGUUACUGAAUCAAAGGAGCACUCUCGUGUGUCUUGGCUUUUAAGUGAGUCUUAUUCAAUAACAGUGGGUGGUAUAAGCACCACUGGAUAUGUAGUUAUAGUAUGGUAUUCUUCGUCAGGAAUUGCGGUGUUGGAAAGAGAAUCGGGUUGCAUCUUCUCAACAGGGAUGAUAGAUGGCUGAUCUUUAGCGAUAUCCAGUCUUAGAUGAGGAUGCAAACGAUAGCAAAUAGUAGAGUUGUGGUCAAACAUACUGCAAUGAGAGCAAUAAGGCGGGUGUGGUUCUAUUUCAACAUUUUGUCAAUACCCGUUGUGAGUGGUUCCAAUCUAUAUCUCAUCGGGAGCUGGUUGAGUGAUAUCCCUCUCAACAAACACACGAGCCACAGAGGGUCUGGAGACAGCAAACGUAGGACUAUUAAUCUUGAGAGACUUACCGUAAGCAGUUGCUAAGGAAUAGAGGAUUUCCAAGUUGAACAGAUGUAAUUUUAACCUCGGAGACUUUAUCCAAACAAAUGAUGGAGACUCCGCUUUUGGAUCAAAAUCAAUAGUCCACUUCAAAAUUUUCAUAUAACGGUUGUUGAUCUUGAUAACUUUCCGAAAAAAAAUGCGAGUGUAAUCGGCAUCGUGAGACAACUGAAUCAGUAUGUGUCGAUCGUUAAGUAAAUCAAUAUUUCAACUGCCUACCAGCUUCAUAGCAUCAAGUUCUUUUCGAAUGAUCUUAAGUUUUGGGUGACCAUAAAGAAAUUUUCUUACUAAAGCAAAACGCCACGAAGAUGCGAGAGUACUGGUUUCAACCUCUAUGAGAAUAAGAGCAGACUUCCCAUUUUUUCCCAGUUUUUUUAAUGAAGGUGUGAUCGUCACCACCUUCAAGAGCCUCGUGAAAUGAUUGUGAAACAUUGCAAGAGUGGCCGCCGACAACUGCAGUGGCAUAGGAAUGGAUAGUCGAUGCCAUCUCCGCCGACAAGAUGGUCUGUCGGGUAGGAAACGAAGAUGUCGUCUGGAAAUGAGAAGUGCGAAGGAGGCGUCGGCAAACGAGGACGUCGUCUGGAAAGAAAUGCGAAAUUUCGUCGUCUGAUAGCGAAGUUGCGUCGUCUGGAAGCUGCGAAAGAGGUGUCAUCGUGCAGGACGCGAGCCGCGACAGCAGACAUCGUCGAAAAGCAGGAUACGUCAUCAAUUAAGAGACGACGCUAGCAAGCGUCGACGACAAGGACGUCUGCGAGCGAGCGGGUCGAGAAAGUUGUGAAGAAGUGAGAAAACAAGGAAAUCACUGCCAGGAAUCUCCAUCAGCCGAAAUCCUAGCAGAGCCCGUUGUCGCUGCCGAUGUCAUUUUCAUAUAAAUGCACCAAGUCUAACUCUAUAGCCAAACUAAUUUUGUUGGAUAAAGGAUGUGAAUGGUAUGACUUCUUCUGUCCAUUAUCAUAUAGCAGUAGAAUAUGUAAUUUCUAAUCUUUUCUUUCUAUUUAAUAAUGUUCUUGCAUCUGAUUUUAUUGAUUGAUAUUCAUAGUUUCUUCUUCUCGGCAAAGUUCACAAGUCAUUGUUUGUGGGAUUUUUUUUUUUUUAAUUUUUUUUAUUUUUUUAUUAUG